UGCAAUGUAAUUUGGAAUCAAGGUAGUUACAUCUGUCUCUUACAUAUAUUUAUAAAUUGUUUGUUACUUAACUCUAGUGUUUUUUAUAAGCUCAGUGCAACUUCAUUCUAUUUUUAUUCUUAUUUUUUUAAGCGUGUUAUUGGGGCUGUACUGUAAGUCAUGAGCUUAUCUGAGUACUUUACUGGUUAGUGCUGCUUCUCAAAUCUCAACUAUAUGUAGGAUAGCAGUGCAUUUAAUUUUAGGAAGUCCCAGCUAUGAUGCAUUAGCCAAACAUAUUACUUCUAUGCACAUCAAACAUAUUUUUUGUGCCUCCUUGAUAUGUUGAUAUGUAUUACUGUGGAUAUUUACUGGGGAUUUUUGGCAGGAAAAUUAUUGGCAGGAUAUUUGUCUACUUAUUGGUGUACCAUAGAGUCCUAUCGAUCUCUUUAAGGGUUUGCAUGUGUUUACUUACACAUGUUAUUGAUCUGACUAUUGUGUACUGGCCGGCUGCAGGGUUGGAGAGGUGUGGAAAGAGUUGCAGGUUGAGAUGGAUAAACUAUUUGAGACCAGAACUUAAGAGAGGCUGAAAUCUGAGAACCACACACAAUGAAAGGAAGACAUUGAAGAUCAGCAGCUCUCCACUUGUUAAUAGUUUCCAAAGUUAGUGAUAGGAUGGUUCAUGAGGUUGAUGGAGGGAAACAGGCAAUUUGUCACAAGAGACCCAGAAAAGGCUCACUUAUUUUAUCUUCCUUACAGCAUGCGCCAAUUGGAGUUGAAGCUUUAUGUACCUGGUUCACAUCAAAUUAAACCACUGGCAAUAUUCCUCAGAGACUAUGUGAACAUGAUUGCUGGGAAGUAUCCUUUCUGGAAUCGCACACAUGGGACAAAUCAUUUUCUUGUUGCUUGCCAUGACUGGGUUGGUAAUCUUUGAUCCUUGUUAUUUCCUUGUUACUGUCCCACGAAGAGUACCAAAUUCCUGAUGAUCUGUUGUACUGUUUUGUAUGUCUUUAAAUAUUAUGUGUGGAUUGUAGUAAUUGAUCUAGAAAGUUGAAAUACAAAAUUAGCAUUUUUUUUUCCCAUCUUUUAUUGCAUAUGUUCCUUGAAAUUCUCACUUUAUGGUCUGAUUAGAAAUGUCUGUUUGUAAUUUGAGAAUGAUUUUAAAAUUAAAUAUCAUUCAGCCUAUAGCUGUUUCAUAUGAAGAGCAACAUAUACAAGUUCAUGCAGCUGUUAUACAGUUGUUUCAUGGUUAGUGUCCCGAGUUCUUUGAACUGAAACAUGGAUGAAUAUUUUCUGGGAUGACGGGGUUGGAUGCCAAACUGAAAAUUCUUACUGCAGCAAAUCUGAUAUAAUUAAAGAGCAUAAAGGUGAGGCUAGGGGCGAUUAAGAAGAAGAGGAACGCUGUGCUGAAGUAUCUGAAGAAUAAUGUUGCUGUUCUUCUCAAGCCUUCAUAUUAAUGUAUAUGGAGGGUUACGUUUCAUGGCUCAUUAGUUUUAAUGUAUAUGAUGUGUCAAUUUUAUCAUUGUUUUGCUUGGCCUUAAUAGAAAUUAAUACAUUCCCUAAUAUUUAAAGUACAUUUGAAUUUCAUGUUAUUUGUGGAUCAACUUUCUAGUACCAAAUACAGCAGGAAAGGGAUAUGAAAAAAACAUCAGUUACUUAUGAAGAACUGAUGUCAGAAAACACAAAUUACAUCAGUUUGAAA